rnacentral:lncRNA from 1 species
AGAAAGGGUCCUGUCCACUGCUUCCGGGGUCUAGUCGGGAGCGGCACUGUGCUGGGUGCCUUCCAUGAUCCCGCGCACAGCCAACUCCAUUUAAAGCGGUGAUUAUUAAACACUGUGGCUAAUUUAAUCAUCAUCCUUGCUGUUCUGUGAUGCCGCUGGCAGGGUGGCUAUCUGAGGCCUCCCAGGUCACCCUCCCGUGACGAGGGGAGACAGGUGCUGUGCCCACACCGAGGGCCGUCAGUGCGUGGGUGACGACCACACCUGGCAGGGCCGCAGAGCGCCUCGGAUGUGGGCUGUGGCCAGCAGCGCGCAGCAGAGGGAGCCCGGGCAUCUGUGCUGCAUUCCCAGCCCGGCUGAAGUUCCAGCAGCGCCCGCCGGCCCCUCAGCUCCACUGCGAUGCGCCUGCCGCGGUGAGGAGGGAGAGAGCCCAUUUUGCUUUCUUAGAGCAGGGGUGAGCAAUGAGCUCGCCGAGGAAUUUGGCAAGGAGACGGGAGCGGAAGGCAGUCGGGUGCCGGCAGACAAGUUGUGAGAUCCUUGCGGCGGCUCCCGGGGGGAGCAGCGGCUGACAAGACAGGGCUGGCGGGCUGCAGACCAGAGGGCGCCCCGCAGCACUGGAGCCUGACGCAGCCCCUGCUCCUGCUGCCUGUGGCUGAAUAAAGGGAGGAAGCUGGAGACACAAUUGCCAGUGAGCAAGCAAGCCAGGGAGCAGUGUUCCUAAAAGGAGAACACAGGCUCCAGAGGAGGGAGGGUGACCCUCUGCCUGCAAGGCUGCCUUUAAAGGAGAAUCCCUCAGGAGGUCUGAUGAAAAAUAUGGUGAAUGAUGCUGCUGAGGGCCAUCCAGUGGAAAGGCAGCUUGUAAAAUAUUACAGUGAGCCCUCCUCCACCUUAUUCACUGAACCUAGCACUGUGUGACUUCUGGCUCUUCCCCAAGUCAAAAUGACUAUAAAAGGUAAAUGUUUUGAAUUGAUUCAAGACAUGCAGGCAGCCACGUAGGAAAGAGGAUUCCAGAGCUGCUUCAGAACAUGGCUGGAGGGAUGAGAUCAGUGUGUUCAAAGUGAAGGGCAGGGUUUUGAGGGGAAUUCUUGACAAUGUGUCUUUUACU